rnacentral:rRNA from 1 species
AUGGCAUGCCCAUGCGUUGAUGCUGCUGCUGCAUGUACACUACACGGAUGUGUACGUGGUCUGCUGCAUGUACAUCGCGUUCACUCGACCGCACAACUCCGGCACACGCGGAAAAGUGAAGAAAAACGGAGAAAGAGGCAUAACAGCGAAAAGGACCCCAAAAGAAAUGGAAGUUUACAGCGACGCCCUUGGGAUAUGCCAACCUGGACCUCUUCAUCGCCUACACUUUUUCAUCGUCGUCGUCGCCGAAGCUCCCGCCGGAAGAAAUGGUGCGUGCUCCAUGAUUGUGUUUCCACCAUGACGGCGGCCAUUGACGUCCACAAUAGCAAGUAG